rnacentral:rRNA from 1 species
UACGAAGGGGGCUAGCGUUGUUCGGAAUUACUGGGCGUAAAGCGCACGUAGGCGGACAUUUAAGUCAGGGGUGAAAUCCCAGGGCUCAACCCUGGAACUGCCUUUGAUACUGGGUGUCUUGAGUACGAGAGAGGUGAGUGGAAUUCCGAGUGUAGAGGUGAAAUUCGUAGAUAUUCGGAGGAACACCAGUGGCGAAGGCGGCUCACUGGCUCGAUACUGACGCUGAGGUGCGAAAGCGUGGGGAGCAAACAGG